rnacentral:rRNA from 1 species
UUUUGGACAAUGGGCGAAAGCCUGAUCCAGCCAUGCCGCGUGAGUGAAGAAGGCCUUCGGGUUGUAAAGCUCUUUUAGUCGGAAAGAAAAGAUCGUAAAUAAUACUUGCGAUUAAUGACGGUACCGACAGAAAAAGCACCGGCUAACUACGUGCCAGCAGCCGCGGUAAUACGUAGGGUGCAAGCGUUAAUCGGAAUUACUGGGCGUAAAGGGUGCGCAGGCGGUUUUGUAAGUCAGAUGUGAAAUCCCCGGGCUUAACCUGGGAAUUGCGUUUGAAACUAUAAGACUAGAGUGCAAAAGAGGGGAGUGGAAUUCCAUGUGUAGCAGUGAAAUGCGUAGAGAUGUGGAGGAACACCGAUGGCGAAGGCAGCUCCCUGGAUUGACACUGACGCUCAUGCACGAAAGCGUGGGGAGCAAACAGG